UCUGUGCGGUGUGAGUCAUCAUGUACCUCACUGCAGGGGAAUUCAUUGUGCUUUAUGGAGAACUCUGGUGACUGCAGGCUCCAGGACACCAGAAAGGCUUCUGCUUGGGCACGGAAGGAGGGCUAUAAGAACAGCCUUUCCCACCUGGCCUCCCAGAGAUGACUGGCUUCACCGCUGUGGCUUCCUCUGAGGUUGCUUGCCCUCUCCUACAUGCAGUGGCCCAUCUGUUCUUAUCCGUCUUUUACCAGCCUCCUCUGCCACAUCACAGUAUGAAGGUGCUUCUGUGUCCAUUCCACUGAGUCUCAAGUGAUGAUACACAGAACCAGGCCCAUCCGUGGUGAGCACCAUGAGUGGGUAGAUUUUGAGCUGUUACCUUCUGUAGACUUGACGUCCCUAUGGAUGUGUCAUCCCUUCCACCACAACCUAGAGAGACUGUCCAGUGGAUUGAAACAAGAGCCAGCUGCUUUAUGGAAAUCCUGGAGGCAGGCACAGAGCCUGGCUUUUCUGGGCACAGGGAUGGUUCCUGCCCAGGCUUAGAUUUCAUGAAGCUCAAGAAACUGGAGUUAGGAGUUGGGAGACCUGGAUUCUAAUUAUGGCAGCCCUUCCCACUUACAUAGCUGUGGUGAAGUCACUUUACCCCACAGACCCUUUUCUUUGUCCAUCAGCUGCCGGCGCCAGACCAGGUGGCAGCGAGGGCCCGGCCUGACUUGGACUGUGGUGGGUGGAGUGGCAGCGCUCAGUGCGGCUGCGCAAGCCCUAGCAGUGACCCAGGAGGCUCUACAGCGACUGCUUGGUGGGCCCUUGAGUCCGGGGGUCCAGCAAUGCAUUUUUCGGGGAGAAGGAGCCUUUUCUUUCCCCAGUGCUACAACUCAGAAUAAACAGCCAGUCUCAGGCGUCCUUUGGUGAAGUA